AUGCCCAUAUGGGACUCCUAUAAAUAUUUGAGUGGCCGUGAGAAUCCUGCAAGUGUAGAUGAAUAAGGAUCUUCUCCUUUUGAUAUCUAUGACCCUAGAAACUGGGACACUCUUGACAAUAAAUCAAGAGAUAUUCUGAUUGAAAAAGGGCCUACAAGGGAACAAAAUCUUGUGUUUGAAACAGACUACAUUUAUCUUGACAUUUUAAUUUAA
rnacentral:rRNA from 1 species